rnacentral:lncRNA from 1 species
GUCAAAAACACCAAAGGACUAAUCCACGCACUGUGUAACUUUCAUUCCCCCUGCUUGAGUCUCUGCUGAAGACCGGUUUUAACUGUUAGAGGCCUGAAACCCAAUCCUGUUAUAAAUCAAGAAGCCAAAUUCCCUUUGGGCUUACAUCAGAGCAAACAAAUCAGUGCCUCCUCUAAUACUAAAGAUUAGGUCACAGGCCAGAGGAAACCUAACCUGCUUUGUGGGUUUAGAGCUGCAAGAGCUGUACAAAAAGA